CGCUGGUGGCUGCUGUGCGAGUCCCGGCGCGCGUUCUGUUCCGCUCGGGGGCCCGGCUCCCAGGCGCUGCCCUCGGGCGGACGGAGCGGGCGGCCGGCGGCGGAGACGGCGCGCGGCGCUUCGGGAGCCAGCGGGUGCUGGUGGAGCCGGACGCGGGCGCCGGGGUCGCUGUCAUGAAAUUCAAGAACCCCCCAGUGAACAGCCUGAGCCUGGAGUUUCUGACAGAGCUGGUCAUCAGCAUGGAGAAGCUGGAGAAUGACAAGAGCUUCCGCAGUGUCAUUCUGACCUCGGACUGCCCGGGUGUCUUCUCGGCCGGCCUGGACCUGACAGAGAUGUGUGGGAAGAGCCCCGCGCACUAUGCGGAGUACUGGAAGGCUGUGCAGGAGAUGUGGCUGCGGUUGUACCAGUCCAACCUGGUGCUGGUCUCCGCCAUCAACGUGAGUGUCCCCACUCCCAGGUGGCCUCGCUGGCUGUUCUGGGCCAGCACCGGGGGGUGGGGCAGACACUGUCCUGCCCUUGGAAUCUCUCACAGGGGAAGGGGACGGUUGGAGAGACCCUGAGAUGUGCACAGGUGAGCGCCAUUGCAGACCGCGGGGCGUGUUGAAAAAGGUGGGCCUCAGGUGAGGACCCUGGCCUGGGUCAAUCAGACAAGACCCAGAAAAGAGCCAGUGGGUAGGAACCAGGGCCUGGGGUUGAUGCCAGCCU
rnacentral:sRNA from 1 species